UACGGAGGUGGCAAGCGUUGUUCGGAAUUACUGGGCGUAAAGAGCGCGCAGGCGGUCGUUCAAGUCGCGUGUGAAAGCCCCCGGCUCAACUGGGGAGGGUCACGCGAUACUGAUCGACUCGAAGGCAGGAGAGGGUAGUGGAAUUCCCGGUGUAGUGGUGAAAUGCGUAGAUAUCGGGAGGAACACCAGUGGCGAAGGCGACUACCUGGCCUGUUCUUGACGCUGAGGCGCGAAAGCUAGGGGAGCAAACAGG
rnacentral:rRNA from 1 species